rnacentral:misc_RNA from 1 species
CUCUCUCUCUCUCUCUCUCUAUUCUUUAUAUGUGUGUUUGGGGCGUGGUUGUGAAAGGCAUGCCUCAGGCGCCUCUGAGGCGAACUGGGCGGGGAAGACCUCACCUCAAACCUGGAGAGGCAGGCAACCUCAUCCAGGAGCAGCAAACCAUGGUGAGGGCACCCAAAUAAAGCAGCAGAUUCUUUUUUUUCUAACCACAUAUUGCUUCGCACCAAAAGAA